AACGAACGCUGGCGGCAUGCCUAACACAUGCAAGUCGAACGAGACCUUCGGGUCUAGUGGCGCACGGGUGCGUAACGCGUGGGAACCUGCCCUUAGGUUCGGAAUAACUCCCCGAAAGGGGUGCUAAUACCGGAUAACGUCUUCGGACCAAAGAUUUAUCGCCUUUGGAUGGGCCCGCGUUGGAUUAGCUAGUUGGUAGGGUAAAAGCCUACCAAGGCGACGAUCCAUAGCUGGUCUGAGAGGAUGAUCAGCCACACUGGGACUGAGAUACGGCCCAGACUCCUACGGGAGGCAGCAGUGGGGAAUAUUGGACAAUGGGCGAAAGCCUGAUCCAGCAAUGCCGCGUGAGUGAUGAAGGCCUUAGGGUUGUAAAGCUCUUUUACCCGGGAUGAUAAUGACAGUACCGGGAGAAUAAGCUCCGGCUAACUCCGUG
rnacentral:rRNA from 1 species